CUUCCAUCCACCUCCUCAGUGCUUGCUCAGCCCAAAGGCUCCUGCCUCUGAAGUGCUGGGGGCCCACCCACCCCAGUGUGGUCAAGGAGGCAAGGGGCAGGAGGGUGGUUGGUGAGUUGAGGCACAGGAAGGCCAAUCCCCUCUGCACCUUUUGUGCUUUGGAAUUCCACAGCCCCACACCUGCCCCCAGCCUAGAGAAG
rnacentral:lncRNA from 1 species